rnacentral:lncRNA from 1 species
GUGUGGAUGUUGACUGAAGAUUAAGGUGAGAGAGCUUACUUGCACAUGGUAGUGGGAUGGAAGUAAGAGCACUUUUCCAUCCCACUACCAUGUGCAACAUGUUUCCGUUGUGCAAGUACGGCGAUCAGUGUCUGUUCAAGCACCCCGCCAUGCAAGUUCGGAGUGGCUUGCACCCGACGCGACUGCGCCUACCGCCACCCCCCCUCCAAGCUGUCUCUGCCCCUCGCCACCCCCAUCCACGUCACUCCAGCCACCACAACGCACUGCCGCUUCUUCCCCAACUGCAACAAUGCCGCCUGUCCUUUCUUCCACCCUAAGCCGUGUAGAUUUGGAACCUACUGUUCCAACAAAAACUGUGCGUUUGAUCACACUGUACGACACAGCAAGGACAAACUCAAAUGGAUACGGCAAGAAUAAGUGACAGACUGUGAAUCUACUAUUAAAAGAAAAAACGUAAUACUAAAUACUACAAUACUAUUAGUUUCAAGUGUUUUAUUUUUGUGCUGUUUUGUAGUGGAAUUCGCAUUUUUAUAACAAUUUCAAAUAUCACGAACUUGUCGUAGACGUUGUGAAACUGAUUGUUCAAUAUAUUUAUGUCAAUUUCGCUGUUUUAAUCUGUGAUGUUUUCAGUGAUUGAAUAAUUUAAAUUUUAAAUUUGAAUUAAUGAUAUUAUGAUGAGUUAAUGAAAUCUCAAAUUGAAUGUGAAUUAAUUCUAAUUGAACUGUUCACUUCAGAAACGUGGAAUGCAUAUCACUGUUGAAAGUAAUCAAUUGAUUAAGAAGGAGUUUUCAAGUAUUCAUUUUUCAUUAUUAUUAUUAUAAUAAUUUCAUUACCUAUUCGAAGUGAAUUCCUCAACAAAGUUAAGUAAAUAAUAUCAAUUUUUGAAAAAAAGUAAAUUAGUUUGAAUAUAAUUCGUGCAUGGUCAUGGUCUCUUGUUUCUCUUUUUGACAUUUUCAAAAUGGCUCUUUUUAAAAUGUGGAAUCUCAGUAUUUACCCGGUGGUUGAAAACUCAAUUAGCUGAAAUUUAUUGGUAGAUCAAGGAGUGAACAAAGUGAUCAGUGAGUAUGUACAGAGUGUUUCCGAACUCUCAACCAAUAUUCCAAGCUAGGGCAUUGUUCCUGGAUAAGAAACAUAACUGAAUAUAAUUUCCAAACUGUUCCAAACUGUGGCCGAAUAUACGGGAAUGAAACUCUGCACAAUCAUUUAUGUUUCAUCCCCAUACGGUUUCAGCCAUUAUUUAGAGAAAAAUAUUAAGUUAAAAAUCAAAAUGGUGGCUGUUGGCUGUGUGAGUAACUAAGGUCUUUCGAACUGUUUGAAAAUAUUUAGUUAUGUUUCUUACGCAGGUGCAAUGCCCUAGAAUAUUAGUAGGGAGUUCGGAAACACCCUGUAUAUAUUUAUUAUUACUCUAAAUUCUUAUUUGAACACAUUGUAUUUAUUAUUAUUUUAAGCUUUAACCAGUGUAAAGUCACAAUAAAGCCAUCAUAAUGAAUAAUAGUUUAACUAUUAUCAUAAUACUAAAAAGGUUUAGUAUAGUUUCUUUCAUCCACGUCUGUAUUUGCUAUUAAUCUUUCGAUUUAUCCAAUUAGACUGCUUUUUGAUCUAUUGAAGCUCCUGUUCCUGCAGGGUAAAGUUUUUUAUGUGUGUCUAUGUAGCUCUAUCUCAGGGGUUUUAUAGCCGAAAAUUAAUGCAUAGCAAUUGAUCACAGUUUUGGGUUUCAUGAUGAAAGCGUUUAGGCUAAUAAAUUAUUUCAAUUGUAAGACUAAUAGUAUUAUACAUAUAAAGUCUCGUUCUGAGUAGUGUAUGAACUGAGUAAAACGUUUUUAUUUGCAUUUUUCGAUCUAAUUGUUGUAAAACUAUUUUGAUCUUGUUUAUAAUUUUUGAGUUUCUUUUAUGGAUUAGUUAUUGAAGUUUGACGAAAAAUACUCUUGACUCAAUGUUUUUUUUCUAGUCGAAUUUAUUAAGAAGUUCAAGCUCUUAUUUCUCAGUUUAUGAGAUGAAAAAUGUGUAAAUCGAUGAAAUACUUUUGUAUAUCAUGUAAAUAAAAAAAUGUUGAUAUA